UUUUUUUUUUGGAUUUGGUCUACUAUGCACUUGUUACCCAUUAGGCAUCUGAUAUGGUGUCAAAAAUUAAACUUUAUCCUAAUGAGUCAUAGUUAUUUUGUAUACAACACAAAUAAUAAUAUUUUGAUAAAAUGUUAAAACGUAAAAAAAAUAUAAAUAUUAAAUUAUCAGAAAUAGAUAAAAGGAUCUGAUUUUUACUUGUAAAAUGUUUUUGCUUCAUUUACAUAUCUAUGCAUAUUUUAAUUAAAUAUAAAAAAAUUAUGUGGUAGAAUGCAUAUUAGUGUCAAAAAUCAAUAUUAAUGUACAAUUUUAGAGUAGCUUAAUGUAUAGAAUAUUCACCAAAAAAAGUGCUGAUAAAGCUAAUACUUUUAAGAUAAUGAGUAUCUUAGGUUAUACUGAUUAUCUUGUAUAUACGUGUGGAUGCUCUCUCUCUCUCUUCUUACUCUAAUAAAUUUUAAAGUUCCUUUUCACUAAACUAGGUCUAAUUCUUCCAUUCCACAACACCAACUAUGGUAGAAAUAAUCCCAUUCAACAUAUGAUGCACAUGGGUAACAAGCGCCUAAGCUUUUCUUAAAUUGUUUUAAUUAGUAUUAAAUCCAAUUUAUUGUUUGCUUACUUUAAUAUUUAUGCUAUAUUGAUCAAAUUUCUUUAUUACUGUAAAU